CAGUAGCCGCGGGAAUACGUAGGGUGCGAGCGUUAAUCGGAAUUACUGGGCGUAAAGCGUGCGCAGGCGAUUCGUUAAGACAGAUGUGAAAUCCCCGGGCUUAACCUGGGAACUGCAUCUUAUACUGCGUAGCUGGAGUGCAGUAGAGGGUAGUGGAAUUUCCGGUGUAGCGGUGAAAUGCGUAGAUAUCGGAAGGAACACCGGUGGCGAAGGCGGCCAACUGGACUGGUAUUGACGCUGAGGCGCGAAAGCGUGGGGAGCAAACAGGAUUAGAUACCCGGGUAGUCCCUGUCUCUUAUAC
rnacentral:rRNA from 1 species